AACGUAGGACGCAAGCGUUAUCCGGAGUUACUGGGCGUAAAGGGCGCGUAGGCGGAUCUUUAAGUCAGGGGUGAAAGCCUGAGGCUCAACCUCAGAAUUGCCUUUGAUACUGAAGAUCUUGAGACCGGAAGAGGUAAGUGGAACUGCGAGUGUAGAGGUGAAAAUUCGUAGAUAUUCGCAAGAACACCAGUGGCGAAGGCGGCUUACUGGUCCGGUUCUGACGCUGAGGCGCGAAAGCGUGGGGAGCAAACAGG
rnacentral:rRNA from 1 species